UAAGUGGAGAGUUUGAUCCUGGCUCAGAACGAACGCUGGCGGCGUGCCUAACACAUGCAAGUUGAGCGCGAAAGGGAGGGGCAACCCUCCCGAGUAGAGCGGCGCACGGGUGAGUAACGCGUGGGUAACCUGCCCCCGGGCGGGGGAUAACUACUCGAAAGGGUGGCUAAUACCGCAUGAGACCACGGGGUCUUCGGACCUUGAGGCUAAAGGCGGCGCCGGCUUGCCGGCGCUGUCACCUGGGGAUGGGCCCGCGUACGAUUAGCUAGUUGGCAGGGUAACGGCCUACCAAGGCUACGAUCGUUAGCUGGUCUGAGAGGAUGGCCAGCCACACUGGAACUGAAACACGGUCCAGACUCCUACGGGAGGCAGCAGUGAGGAAUAUUGCGCAAUGGGGGAAACCCUGACGCAGCAACGCCG
rnacentral:ncRNA from 1 species